AUUGUUUUAGGUAAUUAUGCGCAUGCGUAUAGUUUUCUUGACUUCAAGGGGUAUUAGAUUGAACGGUUGCUCUGGAUUCCCUACUCAAUUGAUUGAUUUAAAACUCAUGGGAUCGUUUCUAUGUUUGUCUGCUACUGAGGGUUAUUGUUGUUUCAUAAUUUUAAAUCAUAUGCAUCAUUUAAAUUAAAAUAAAUGUAGUCCACAUCGCAACACCCCUUACGGCGAAAUGGAGUCUUCCAUAUUAUCAUUUCGAGUUGUCUCCCUUCCGGAAGUGAACUCCGUAAGUUCUGAAAACAAAACAUGUCGAGAAAAAUUAACUCGUUUUGUCGAUAAACGUCGUGUUAUAUUAAAUACGAUCGCAAUUUUAAUCGAGGAAUGUGUACGGAAAGGAGUCAUGACUACUGACCCAAAGGAAAUGAAAUAUUUUUAAAAGAGUUAGGAACGGGGUUCCUCCUAGAAUUAUCGUAGGAAAAAGGGUGAUAAGAUACGAAGUGAAAUACCUUCUCUCACUCUGAGUCUCUGCUGUGACUGCUGUCGAAAGUAAACUUGGAAUUGAUAGUACAAAAAUAAAACAAUGAGUAUAUUGUUCAUACAUUUGUAUCCGGGAUUGGAUAUUUUAUAACUUCAGAUUACGUACAUUUUACAUGUGCAGUUGAAUUAGUUUUGAAAAUAAUAUUAUCCAGCUACAUGUAUACAUGUGUCAAUGAAAACAAUGGCAAUCGUAUCCCUCAGAGCAAUCUGCUCUUUGAUUUUAUUAUGUGAUUUCUUGAGUCGUUUUUAUAGUGACUAUUUGAUUACCAGACC
rnacentral:lncRNA from 1 species